UGCUUAGCUCAGUUGGUAGAGCGGCGCCCUUACAAGGCGUAGGUCGGGGGUUCGAACCCCUCAGCA
rnacentral:tRNA from 1 species